CGUCAUAAGAGGUUCUCUCAUCAGUCUGCAGCUCUGGACGGAUGGAAGACCAAGGAUAAGCGCCUGAAGUUGGAUGUAAGACCAGCGGACGAUCGCGUUGUCGCACACCACCUAAUGGCGGCAGAGUAGUCGCCCGUCUGCGGCUAAGGGCCGUACAGAAAUGUCGAGACUUCUGUUGAGACCAGAGCUGUCCAUAGACUCCUGGUCCCAGGGGUCUGUGCGGGAUCAUUCGUCCUGUCCCCAGGGGUCUGGGUCGGCAGGCGAAUGGAUCAUGGGAUCCUUACGGGACCAAGUUUCCCGUCCCGCGGGAAUAGUAACAUCUGCCCGCGACAUGCUGAUAGACUAUCGAGACAACAUAUACGAGAGAGUACAAGGGCACCCACACGUACAGCGUGCCUUGAGGUUUAGACUGCAGCAUCCGGUAAUUGCAACGUUUCUUGCGAUGUGCAUCGCCGUCAUCUCAGCGCCAGCGGUCUGUGUUAGUGCCAUAGUCGGAGUGUGCUUCCUGUGUACGUUAGUGACCGCGUGCAUGUUUGGA